AAUGGCCGAAAUAUUGGGAAAUUUUGGAACAAGACGGAGAUAGACUGAAAUUGCAGAGUUUUGAAAAAUUAAAAAACAAAGUGCGAGACUGGCUUCAUUAUUUUCAGAUAAUGGAGGCAUUUAAAUUGGACAAGAAAAUUGGCUUCCAGGUGGAAAGAUCAAAAUUAGAAACAGAACUGUUAGAACCCAAAACUAAGAAUUUGUCAAGAAUGUAUAACUUGCUGCUGAAAUGGAAUACUCAGGAUGAAACGGUAAAAUUGGCUAUGAUUAAAUGGGCACAGGACGUUGGACAUAACAUUAUGUUUGCUGACUGGGAACAGUUGUGGACCACAGGUAUGAAAUUUACGGCAUGUAAUGUCUUAAGAGAGAAUAUUAUGAAAAUGAUAUACAGGUGGUACAUAACCCCAGUCAAGCUUGCAAAAAUCUAUCAUUUGCCCGAUAACAAAUGUUGGAAAUGUAAAGAAACUGAAGGUACAUUUUUUCACCUUUGGUGGACGUGCCCAAAGAUUAAGGCUUUCUGGGAAAUGAUAUAUAAUGAAUUAAAAAAGGUAUUUAAAUAUACCUUCCCUAAGAAACCAGAGGCCUUUCUCCUGGGCAUAGUCGGCCAAAUGGUGUUAAAAAAGGAUAGAACUUUCUUUAUGUAUGCAACAACAGCAGCAAGAAUACUCAUCGCAAAGUAUUGGAAGACACAAGAACUUCCCACGCUGGAGGAAUGGCAGAUGAAACUGAUGGACUAUAUGGAACUGGCGGAAAUGACUGGCAGAAUCCGUGACCAGGGAGAAGAGUUGGUGGAGGAAGACUGGAAGAAAUUCAAAGAUUAUCUUCAGAAACAUUGCAAAAUUAAAGAAUGUUAGAGUGAUGUUGGAUUGAAAAUAAGUGGUUUCCAGCUGUACAGGUUAAAGUUAUUGAUAGACUAAGAUUAAAGAUUAGGAUUAAAGAUGUUUAAGGAAAUGGAAAUUUGGUACUUAAGAGGUAAAAUUUUAAUGUUAUAUUACAUUAAGAUUAAAGAUUAGGAUUAAAGAAGUUUAAGUGUUAUAUAUUAUAUUAAGAUU